CCUACGGGAGGCAGCAGUGAGGAAUAUUGGUCAAUGGGCGAGAGCCUGAACCAGCCAAGUAGCGUGCAGGAUGACGGCCCUAUGGGUUGUAAACUGCUUUUAUAAGGGAAUAAAGUGAGUCUCGUGAGGCUUUUUGCAUGUACCUUAUGAAUAAGGACCGGCUAAUUCCGUGCCAGCAGC
rnacentral:rRNA from 1 species